UACGGAGGAUGCAAGCGUUAUCCGGAAUGAUUGGGCGUAAAGCGUCCGCAGGUGGCUGUGUAAGUCUGCUGUUAAAGAGUGAGGCUCAACCUCAUAAAAGCAGUGGAAACUACAUGGCUAGAGUGCGUUCGGGGCAGAGGGAAUUCCUGGUGUAGCGGUGAAAUGCGUAGAGAUCAGGAAGAACACCGGUGGCGAAAGCGCUCUGCUAGGCCGCAACUGACACUCAUGGACGAAAGCUAGGGGAGCGAAUGGG
rnacentral:rRNA from 1 species